rnacentral:rRNA from 1 species
UACAGGGGGUGCAAACGUUGCUCGGAAUCAUUGGGCGUAAAGCGCACGUAGGCGGUUCGUUAUGUCGGAUGUGAAAGCCCUUGGCUUAACCGAGGAAGUGCAUCCGAAACUGGCGAGCUAGAGUACUAAAGAGGAUCGCGGAAUUCCCGGUGUAGAGGUGAAAUUCGUAGAUAUCGGGAGGAACACCGGUGGCGAAGGCGGCCAUCUGGACCAGCACUGACACUGAGGCACGAAAGCGUGGGGAGCAAACAGG